UACAGGGGGUGCAAACGUUGCUCGGAAUCAUUGGGCGUAAAGCGCACGUAGGCGGUUCGUUAUGUCGGAUGUGAAAGCCCUUGGCUUAACCGAGGAAGUGCAUCCGAAACUGGCGAGCUAGAGUACGAAAGAGGAUCGCGGAAUUCCCGGUGUAGAGGUGAAAUUCGUAGAUAUCGGGAGGAACACCGGUGGCGAAGGCGGCCUGCUGGGGAGUUUUGCUGACACUGAGGCGCGACAGCGUGGGGAGCAAACAGG
rnacentral:rRNA from 1 species